rnacentral:tRNA from 1 species
GGAGAGAUGACAGAGUGGUUUAAUGUUCCGGUCUUGAAAACCGGUGUAGUUUUGAACUACCGAGGGUUCGAAUCCCUCUCUCUCCU